AUGAUGUGAUCUCAAAAGGGUUGUAACGUUAACUGGCAAAAACUAAUCCAUAUAUGGAAAGCACCAUGUUGGAAAGUGAAGUUCUGCAAAUUAUAUUUGGAAACAUAACAAAACAAAUUUAGCAAGUUGAAAAGUUUCCUGAUUAUGGAUCCAUGGUCAAGUGCCCAAGAUGUUGUAUGCUGCGCCCUAUGUCAAACCCCUGAGACCCCCUUAUACUGUGAAAUUUGUCAUAUGAAUCUUUGUAAAGAUUGCAUAUUGAAGCAUGUAUCUGACCCGUCAAAGGUUCAUAAUGUGGUGUCAUUUAAACAGCACUGCACUUCUCUGAAUCAUCUGACAAAACAAUGUGAUCACCGCAGUGAAAAAUCUGAUUUUUGUAGACUGUGCAUUUCUGAAGAACCGUUAGCGCAUAAACCAGGAGUCCUAUUAAACCCCCUGGAAAGCAAAAAAGUUUUACAAAGAGAUUUGCAAGAAUUGGAGAAAUACAUUUUUCCCAAAUACAAUUCUAUUGCAUCAAGCAUUCCAUUUCAGAAGGCCGAGCUUACUAAAAACUCCCAGAAAUUGAAAACGUUUUUUACUGAAAGAGGAAAACUAUGGCACAACGAAAUAGACAACCUUAUCAAAAACCUGAAAUCUGACCUUGAUGAAAUGGAAAAAAAAUAUUUAGUAGUCCUAAAUAAAAAGGAAUCUGAUAUCAAACGCACCAUUUCUGAAAUCAUAAAGAGUAUAGAUUCAAUAAAGGCGUUACUUAAGUCUGCAGAUGUUUGCCGCGUCUUUGAGUACAAAUCUAGGAAUGCUGAAUUCAGAAGAUUGCCUCCAAAACUCAAUGUUUCCUUACCAAAAUUUAAACCUCGGGAAAUCAAAAGAGAUCAGCUUAUGGAACAGUUUGGUUCUCUGUCACAAUUAUCCUUUACAACAGAAGAAGAAUACUACACAAUGGCGGUCCAGGGAGCAGAAUCUUCUACUACAGACCGGUCACUAUUGGAUAUACCACUGAUCAUAUCAUCUUUUGAUACUAAGAGUACAAAUCUAACCAGUUUGGCCUGUCUGAAUGAUUUAGAGAUUUGGGCGCUUGGUGGGGACAGCAUCAUGAAACUCUAUAGCCACCAAGGGAAAGAACUGAAAUCAGUUGAAACCAAAUCAAAGGAAAAUCCAUGCGACAUUGCAGUGACAAUGAGCGGGGAACUCGUUUAUGCUGACUACAGAGAAAGAACUGUAAAUAUAGUGAGAAAUACAGAAAUACAGUCAGUUAUAUCGCUUUUGGGUUGGAAGCCUCCAAUGUCUCUAGUACCUCAUCUGGUGACCUCCUGGUUGUCAUGUGCCGUGACGAUUUUAACCAAACUAAAGUUGUGCGUUACUUUGACCUCAAGGAAAAACAAAGCAUCCAGUACAAUGAUAAAGGGAAACCCCUCUUUUCAUCUGGUUGCAUCAAAUACAUAACUGAGAACAGAAAUUUAGAUAUUUGUGUAUCUGACCGCGAUGCCCAUGCAGUAGUAGCAGUCAAUCAGAAUGGGAAAUUCCUCUUUAAUUACACUUUUAGUCCAAAUGCGAAACCAUUUACACCAACUGGCAUCACUACAGAUAGCCAGAGCCGAAUCCUAACAGCAGACAGUACCAACAACUGUAUCCACAUCAUACACCAGAAUGGACAGUUCCUCCGCUUAAUUGAAAACUGCUUUUUACUCUCUCCUUGGGGUUUAUCUGUUGACGCCAGAGACAAUCUUUUCGUGGCUGAAAAUGACUUAAGUAGAGUGAAGAAAAUACAAUACUGCAAAUGAAUCAAUCAACUGUACAUAUGAAAUGGAAACUGAAUGUAAUCAAACUAACUUUAUCAAAACAUAUUUCCAUUUAUCAGAUUUUCUGACUAGAUCAAUUCAUUAUGUCUUUUGUGUCGUUAAAAACUAAUACUACUUCGUACUUUCCGGGGUAUAUUUUUCAAAUGUUAGCAAACGUAAAUGUUAUGGACAAAUAGAGCUUGAUCUUUGAAGUAUAAUAAUAAUAAAAUAAGGACUAUUGUACAUGUUUAUUCGCUAAAUUAUCUUUUUUCUGCAUCAAACAAAUGUACAUGUAAGUUGAUUGAAAUUGUUGAAGUGAUUUCCAUAUGUAUGUUUGUAAAUAUAAACGCUUCUCGAAAGAUUGUUAAUUGCUUAGAUUAGUUAAUUGUUUAAAAUGUUCAAUAAAAAAUCUAAGAUUU
rnacentral:sRNA from 1 species